rnacentral:rRNA from 1 species
UACGUAGGGGGCAAGCGUUGUCCGGAAUUAUUGGGCGUAAAGAGCGUGUAGGCGGUCCGGUAAGUCAGCUGUGAAAGUCAAGGGCUCAACCCUUGAAUGCCGGUUGAUACUGUCGGGCUAGAGUCCGGAAGAGGCGAGUGGAAUUCCCGGUGUAGCGGUGAAAUGCGCAGAUAUCGGGAGGAACACCAAUGGCGAAGGCAGCUCGCUGGGACGUUACUGACGCUGAGACGCGAAAGCGUGGGGAGCGAACAGG